UGGGUGAUCUGCCCUGCACUUCGGGAUAAGCCUGGGAAACUGGGUCUAAUACCGGAUAUGACUGCGAAUCGCAUGGUUUGUGGUGGAAAGCUUUUGCGGUGUGGGAUGGGCCCGCGGCCUAUCAGCUUGUUGGUGAGGUAAUGACUCACCAAGGCGACGACGGGUAGCCGGCCUGGAA
rnacentral:rRNA from 1 species